UCCUCUGUAGUUCAGUCGGUAGAACGGCGGACUGUUAAUCCGUAUGCGAGUCCAGUCAGAGGAGCCA
rnacentral:tRNA from 1 species